rnacentral:lncRNA from 1 species
AGGUUCAAUUCACUUGGGAUUGUUCAUCAAAGCAGUUGUUCAUAUACUCCACAACAGAAUAGAGUAGUGAAAAAGAAGCACAUACCCAUCCUUGAUGUGGCUAAAGCACUCAAGAUACAAAGUAAUAUGCAAUCAAAUUCUGGGGAGAAUGCAUUAGGACAGCAGUAUACCUAAUCAACAAGAUACCUACAGAUGUCCUAAAUAAAAGAUCUCCUUAUGAAUUAUUAUAUAGUAAACAACCAAGUAUAUAUCAUUUGAGUGUAUUUGGUUGUUUGUGCUAUGCUAGUACCCUACCUAGAGGAGGUAAGUUUUCUCCUAGAGCAAGGAGGACACUAAUGAUAGGGUACUCAAAGACACAAAAAGGGUACAAACUAUCUGAUUUAAAAUCUAACAUUUUCUUUGUCAGUAAGGAUGUAAACUUUAGAGAUGAUGUCUUUGCUUUUCAAGGUGAAGAAGCAUGUUAUGAGGAUUAGUUCACUCUUGUUCUAGUAGACUUGAACACUAGUUCACCAAGAACAAAUGUUGAUGAUGCCCUGUUACAACUCAGGAAGACUUAAGCAAUGAAAGUAUGAAUGAAGAGGCAAUCCCUUCUAUUCUCCCUCAACCAAGCCACACGGCAACAAAUUCAUCAGAUAUAGACCUGGAUGAGUCAUCAGGAGAAAAUGUAGAUAUGCCAAAUGCAUUAGAAGAUGUUGUAGCUGAACCUCUAGCAAUUAUGGAAGAAACUGAAGCAGGUUUGCAAGAGCAGCAAACACCAACUCAAUAGUUGCAGUCAUUUGAACCUGUUGAUAAUGCAGAAGCUCCCACUGUUAGGAAAUCUAUCAGAGGUACAAAACCAUCAAUUUGGCUCAAAGACUAUUUUACUUGAUGGAAACAUCAUGACACAUUGCCUAUCUAAUCUUUCAUUAUGACAAUUACACGCAUUUUCCACAACACUACCAAGCAUAUCUCACUAGUUUAUUUGCCCUUAUAAAACCAAAGAUUUUCUAUGAAGCCUCUAUAGAUGAGAAAUGGAUUAAAGCUAUGCAAGAAGAAAUUCAAGCACUUGAAACUAACAAAACCUGGGAGAUAGUAGAGUUGGCACCAGGAAAGAAAGCAAUUGGCUCAAAGUGAGUGUACAAAAUCUAAUACAAAUCAAAUGGUGAGAUUGAAAGGUUCAAGGCACGCUUAGUGGCUAAGGGUUAUACACAACAGGAAGGUCUUGACUACCAUGAGACCUUUUCACUUGUUGCAAAAAUGAUCACAAUGAGGACUGCGAUUAGCCUUGCAGCCUCUAAGGGUUGGAAGUUAUUCCAAAUGGAUGUAAAUUUUUUGCAGCGUGAUAUUUGAAAAGGAAAGCAGUUGAAUUAUGUCAAGUGCCAACUAAGGAAUAUGUCAACUAAGGAAAGAAGUUAAAUCCAAUAUUCUGAAUGAAGCCAACAAGGAAACAAAUAAACGUUUAUUUAUAUAUAUGGACAGAUAGAUUCUCCCUGACUAAUUCAAGCCAUUGAAAACUCUUUUCCAAUUCCUCUCUUGUAGCCGUUGGGUCUGCCUUGAAAUUACUUUUCCUUGCCUUUUUCAUUUCCAAUCUCUUGUGUAUAUAAUAUGAUAUCUUUUAUGUUAGAAAAUACAGAACAUGAAUGAGAUUAUUCUAUGUUCAAAUCUCUUCAUGUUAUCAGAGCCCUCACAUGAGAUUGGAACAAGCAAAACUCUCAUGGCCAAUUCUAACCAACUAGUGCAAGAACCCUCUAUUUCUCAUCAAACAUUGCACUAGUGUACUAGUCUCAUCUCAUUGAAACUAGACACUUCAAACUUCUCACUUUGGCGUUCUCAAAUAGAACCUUUGAUUCAGAGCAUUGGAAUAGAACAUCACCUUACCAAUGAAAGCAAACCGGAAAAAGAAAUCACUGGGACGAUAGAAAGGCUGCUCCAAAUCCGCAGUACCUUACCUGGAUCAACAAUGAUGACUUGCUAAUAUCUUGGUUACUAAAAAAUACAGAGAUAGAGGUUCUAAUGUUGGUGGAAAACAUCUAAAUGGCACAUCAGGUAUGGCAAUCUAUUGAGAAUCAGAUUCUCCCUACUACGAUUGAAAAAGAACAACUUUUGAAUGAAAAAUUGAUAUCCCUUAAAAAGGGAAACAUGUCUCUUGAUAAAUACCUUAAGAAUUUCAAAGGCUUAUGUGAUAGCUUAGCUGCAAUUAAAAAGCCCAUGGAAGAUACAAGUAAAACAUUUCGACUAGCUAGGGGUCUUAGUGCUAAAUAUAAGGAUUUUUGAACUGCUAUGUUAGCAAAAGCCCCUUAUCCUACUUAUAAUAAGUUUGUUGUAGCCCUGCAAGCUCAUGAACAGAUGAUGAUUAAUGAAAGCGAGGAGAAAGAUCACUUGCAAACUCACCAUGAACAAGGUUUCGUCGGAUAAAGAGGAAGAUGACGACAUCGUGGUGGAGGAAGGUUUAACUCGAGAGGACGAGGCUUUGCUCCAGCAGCGCGCCAUGGUAAUUACAGUGCUAGGCCAAAUUUCAAUGAUAAAAUACCAUACCAACCAAAGGCAACUAAUUAUAGUGUCGAUUCGCGUCAACAAAAAGAAAGAACAAGCUAUCAUUUGCCAAAUUUGCGGUAAGAUGAAUCACUCAGCCUUGGAAUGUGGGAAUCGGUUUGACCAUUCUUUUCAACCCGAAGACCAAAUUCCUAAGGCCCUUGCUGCAAUGAAACUAGAACAUGAAGAUUCUUCACUCUAUGCCGAUUCAGGAGUGACAACUCACAUCCUAAACAAUCUAGGUAAACUUGCCAAAACUACUCCAUAUAAGGCAAUGAAUCUAUAUUUGUAGGAAAUGGUGAAAGCCUUCCCAUUUAUCAUAUUGGUGAAGGACAACUAAAAACCAAAAAUGGUAGCUUAAGUCUGAAAAAUGUUCUCAUUGUUCCUGAUAUAAAGAAAACUUUACUCUCUGUUGGACAAUUGAUCCACGCCAAUCCUUGUUUCGUUGAAUUUUUUGCUGAUGAUUUUGUGGUUAAGUCUCAACAGGGCAGAAUACUUGCUAAAGGAUGCAAAAAAGGAGGACUUUAUGCUCUUGGAUAAAUAAAUCAACAAGCUCUCCUUGCCUAUAAGAAUAAAGCUUCAUAAAAUAUUUGGCACAAAAGGAUGGGACAUCCCUAUUUACGAUAUCUAAAGAUUCUAAAGUCAAAAUACUUGAUACAUAACUCAGAUAAGAUGUCCGAAUCAAGCCUGCCUGCUGGUUGUAGCAAUUAACAUAGGCAGAU